GACGAACGCUGGCGGCGUGCCUAACACAUGCAAGUCGAACGAAGAGGCGAACGGGUGAGAAAUACGUGGGUAACCUGCCCUCCUUUUUGGGAUAAGCCUUGGAAACGGGGUCUAAUUCCGCAUAAAGGGGGAUGGGCUCGCGGCUUAUCAGGUUGUUGGUGGGGUGAUGGCCUACCAAGGCGGUGACGGCUAGCCGGCCUGAGAGGGUGACCGGCAACAUUGCGACUGAAAUACGACCCAGGGUCCUACGAGAGGCAACAAUGGGACAUAUUGCACAAUGGGGAAAAGCCUAAUGCAGCGACGCGAAGUAGGCGAUGAAGGCUUGCGGGUUGUAAACCUCUUUCGAUAUCGAACGGGUAGGUGGAGAAGAAGCACCGGCUAACUACGUGCCAGCAGCCGCGGUAAUUC
rnacentral:rRNA from 1 species